rfam:Picea glauca, whole genome shotgun sequence.
CCCAUGGUUUUUUUAAAAACCAUUUAUUGCUUGCUUCCAGUGGUUU